AUGAAACGCUGGGAACGCAGUGCUUCUUCUCACUCCAGAGGAAAUCAGGGGCUCUCUUCUCUCAGUUAUUGUCCAAGGAAUAAAAUGGCUCGUUCAAAACUGCGAGCGAGGGAACCCUGGGUGCAGGCGGCCCUGGGCUUCGCGCUGGGGGCCGUGGCGGGCUGCGCGCUGGGAGCCACGGAGGAUCCGGUGGACCGGACCAUCGCGGUGAUGACCUCGGAGGACUUCUUGAAGCCCGUGAUGGACGAGGCUAGGACUGUGGGGCCCCUUGGCCUCGGCACCCUCUUGGGAGCCACGGCGUUGACCGCCUCCAUGAGCUCCGUGGUGGCCGGCGUGAUCCUCGCCGCCGCCACAGCCUCCGUGUUCCUGUCCAAGGGAAGCUGCUCCGUGACGAACGCCGAGUCCGUCGGCCUGUGGGUGUGGUCCGGAGUGGUUGGGGCGGCGGGGGCCACGCUCAGCGGGGCCACGCUCGGCAUGGCCAUCGAGUACAUCGUGACGAACGUGGGCAUGGUGGGACUCCUGAUCGCCCUGAGCGUGUUCACGGUGCUGAAGCCACCUCUGCACUUCCUGUUCAAUGUGAUCUGGCAGCAGCGGGAGGUGUGCUGCGGUCUGGGGACGGCGGCGUUGGCCCGGGAGAGGGACGAACGAGAGAGGGAGCUCAAAGAAGCGGAGCAGAGGGAGAGGGUGACGGUGAAGGUGGAGCAGAGGACCCAGGCGAUUGAGAAAGGCGUGAGGGCCAGGGAGAGGGAGCGCAUGGCCAGUAAGGAGGAGGAGCUCCUGCAGAGUGAAAAGAUGGAGAGAGAGAGGAUAGAGAGAGAGGAGACAGAGAUGGAACACAGAACCAUCCAAGACUGGAUCGACAGCGUCGUGGUUAAAUACGUGGACUUCAUCGCGUUCUCCGGAUUACCCAUGACCCUCAUCGCCAUCGUUACAUCGGUGUUUGGCAUGAAUGGCUACGGCGCUCACCAGUCUGUCCUAAUAGUGCUUUUAUGUUUGGUGGUCGUCCUCUCCUACUCAAUGAUGAAGGUGUCCAGAUUUAAGUUAUGGAUGCUGGCGGGAUGCAUGGGAAUGCUCGCCACCUUCGUCGUGGCUAUGCUCACUUUACAUGCAGAACAAGAGGUCCUCCUUGCCAACAGCAGGUUGCGAGCGGUGGGUAAGAACCUCUCCAGGGAAAGCCUCACCCCUACUAUGAACCAAAAGGCCUCCCUCGAGGCCCUGAACACAAGCUUCUUCGUGGCCAAGCUGUGCCAGUUAGCAUUAGGCGCGGCGGUCAGUGGGCCGUUGCUGCGGUGGGGGGCCGGAGAGGCCAAAAUCAUCGUAGGGGCGGCGGGAUUGGCGGGAACUCUUAUUGCUGUGGUGGAGGUCGUAACCCCUGUUUUGGGGCAAGGGGGGAGGGCCGGAGCUCUGCUGGGGUCCGUGGGGGCAGCGGGAGUGUCCGUAGGGGCCGCGGCAGCCAUGGCCGGGGCCUGGUCAUCCUGGGCGGGGACGUCAGGAACCAUAUUUGGACUGAUGUUGGGAGCACUUAUUAUUGGGAAAUGGCACAUUGUAAACAUUGGACUGCAGCUGCCUGUAGCCUACGUCUUUGCCAUGACUAAUCCAUACUAA
ensembl:lncRNA